rnacentral:rRNA from 1 species
GAUGAACGCUGGCGGCGUGCCUAAUACAUGCAAGUCGAGCGAACAGACGAGGAGCUUGCUCCUUCGACGUUAGCGGCGGACGGGUGAGUAACACGUAGGUAACCUACCUAUAAGACUGGGAUAACUUCGGGAAACCGGAGCUAAUACCGGAUAAUAUUUCGAACCGCAUGGUUCGAUAGUGAGAGAUGGCUUUGCUAUCACUUAUAGAUGGACCUGCGCCGUAUUAGCUAGUUUGUAAGGUAACGGCUUACCAAGGCAACGAUACGUAGCCGACCUGAGAGGGUGAUCGGCCACACUGGAACUGAGACACGGUCCAGACUCCUACGGGAGGCAGCAGUAGGGAAUCUUCCGCAAUGGGCGAAAGCCUGACGGAGCAACGCCGCGUGAGUGAUGAAGGUCUUCGGAUCGUAAAACUCUGUUAUUAGGGAAGAACAAACGUGUAAGUAACUGUGCACGUCUUGACGGUACCUAAUCAGAAAGCCACGGCUAACUACGUGC